rnacentral:rRNA from 1 species
UCAAUUAUUUAUAGCCUCUGGCUAUAGGAAAUUGUUAGUGGCAGACGGGUGAGUAAUGCGUAGGAAUCUACCUAGUAGUACGGAAUAGCCAUUAGAAAUGGUGGGUAAUACUGUAUAAUCCCCGAGGGGGAAAGAUUUAUCGCUAUUAGAUGAGCCUACGUUAGAUUAGCUAGUUGGUGAGGUAAUGGCUUACCAAGGCUAUGAUCUAUAGCUGGUCUGAGAGGACGAUCAGCCACACUGGAACUGAGAUACGGUCCAGACUCCUACGGGAGGCAGCAGUGGGGAAUAUUGGACAAUGGGCGAAAGCCUGAUCCAGCUAUGCCGCGUGAGUGAAGAAGGCCUUCGGGUUGUAAAACUCUUUCAAUAGGGAAGAUAAAGACGGUACCUAUAAA